GGCCUUCCGGAAGGCGGGCGCGGAGGCCGGAAGCGAAACGCCAAGUUCCCGGAUGGCCGUGGAUGUGCUGCGCCGGGGGCGACAUCGUGGCGAGCGACUAAGCUGUGCUACAGCAGUGCCUAGCAACGAGCGAGCGCUCUGCCCAGUCGUAGAAUGAAGGGGUUGCCGCAUGCCCACGAUAACGCAAGAGCUGGUAGCGCCAACACUUGGACCCUGGUGAAUUCGACUCCAUAACCUGGCUUUGUAACCACCGUUGUGUUCACCGUAACAUGUCACAUCACCAGAUUCUCCAUUUUAGGCCCGAUUUGACCGGGACAGUAUCACAACUCGAAGGCAGUAUUUGAAAGCAUCGAGUGUUUCCUACACUUGGCAUGAACUGUGCAGCAGGGCCCAGGAUUUUUGGUGCAGGUCCUCAACCGGAGCUAGAAACACCUGUGUCAAGUCGGUGUUUGUACAGGGACAGUUCCUUCUCCUGCCCUGGGGCGAGGCUGAAGAUGCCUCCCUGAGCCUAGCUCGGGACGCACCGUCCUCCAGGGCUGGGGACAUCAGCCAUGUGGGACAGGGAAGCUGGCCAGCCCCGCUCUGCUCUGCCCAGCCCCGCUCUGCUCUGCCCAGCCUCGGGCAUCCGCUCAAGUUCCUUGCAGAUGAAGAACAGACACGGUGACUUAUAGUAAAUAUUUAAUUGGUUCCUUCAGCCACCCCAGUACUUGUUUUCAUGGACAGGAGGCAGAUCAAGUUCCCGGGGGGUUCACGAGGUAUGGGGGUCACAGAGGAAGCUCCCAGGGUCGCUACCCAACUCCACGCCGGUGUCCCUAUGAGGGCUGGGCUGGCAGCUGUCGCGUGAGGGGGAGGAAACUAGGGGGCCCUGGCCUGUGCUUGAGCCUGCAGGAAGGGACAGGUGAGCCUCUCUCCAUCCGUCUAGUACUCACGAGCCCCUCCCCCAACGGUCUUCUGUCCCCUCCGACCUGUCUUCCCAAUUUUGUGGCUCAAGAACCAGGGUCAGAACUCUACGUUCCAGCUUCUGGGGCUGGCUCCCGCCCCCACGUCCUUCCUCUCCCGUGCCAUCGCUCUGCCUCUCUGGGUGCUGAUCUGAGGGUUUUGGCAGUUCCAGACUUUUCCACAGCAUGAGGGAUUUGGCUCAGACUGUGCAGCAAGUGGGUGGUCCAGUGGAGACUAGGGAGUCCUGAGGGUGUGGCCUGGCCUGGCCUCCUCCCUUCCCACCCCACUUCGAACCAUUGGUCGCACUCCCUUUUGCGCAACUAAGCUAAGCCAAGGUUUACUGAGAUGCUAACUGGGGACGGACAGCUGUGAGGUGAGGGAUCCCAAGGGAAUGUGUGAAGACAUGAGAGGUUCUGAUCUGCGUUCAGGGAGAUGAGGAACUACUGGCCGGGGAAGCCGGUGGGUGGGAGAGACUCUGGGCAGAGCGGGAGUCCUCAGGACCCCAUAACCCUUCAGCUCCCCGGGUCUGAGCUCAG